rnacentral:rRNA from 1 species
CGGCGUGCUUAACACAUGCAAGUCGAACGGAAAGGCCCUGCUUUUGUGGGGUGCUCGAGUGGCGAACGGGUGAGUAACACGUGAGUAACCUGCCCUUGACUUUGGGAUAACUUCAGGAAACUGGGGCUAAUACCGGAUAGGAGCUCCUGCUGCAUGGUGGGGGUUGGAAAGUUUCGGCGGUUGGGGAUGGACUCGCGGCUUAUCAGCUUGUUGGUGGGGUAGUGGCUUACCAAGGCUUUGACGGGUAGCCGGCCUGAGAGGGUGACCGGCCACAUUGGGACUGAGAUACGGCCCAGACUCCUACGGGAGGCAGCAGUGGGGAAUAUUGCACAAUGGGCGGAAGCCUGAUGCAGCAACGCCGCGUGCGGGAUGACGGCCUUCGGGUUGUAAACCGCUUUCGCCUGUGACGAAGCGUGAGUGACGGUAAUGGGUAAAGAAGCACCGGCUAACUACGUGCCAGCAGCCGCGGUGAUACGUAGGGUGCGAGCGUUGUCCGGAUUUAUUGGGCGUAAAGGGCUCGUAGGUGGUUGAUCGCGUCGGAAGUGUAAUCUUGGGGCUUAACCCUGAGCGUGCUUUCGAUACGGGUUGACUUGAGGAAGGUAGGGGAGAAUGGAAUUCCUGGUGGAGCGGUGGAAUGCGCAGAUAUCAGGAGGAACACCAGUGGCGAAGGCGGUUCUCUGGGCCUUUCCUGACGCUGAGGAGCGAAAGCGUGGGGAGCGAACAGGCUUAGAUACCCUGGUAGUCCACGCUGUAAACGGUGGGUACUAGGUGUGGGGUCCAUUCCACGGGUUCCGUGCCGUAGCUAACGCUUUAAGUACCCCGCCUGGGGAGUACGGCCGCAAGGCUAAAACUCAAAGGAAUUGACGGGGCCCCGCACAAGCGGCGGAGCAUGCGGAUUAAUUCGAUGCAACGCGUAGAACCUUACCUGGGUUUGACAUGGAUCGGGAGUGCUCAGAGAUGGGUGUGCCUCUUUUGGGGUCGGUUCACAGGUGGUGCAUGGCUGUCGUCAGCUCGUGUCGUGAGAUGUUGGGUUAAGUCCCGCAACGAGCGCAACCCUUGUUCACUGUUGCCAGCACGUUAUGGUGGGGACUCAGUGGAGACCGCCGGGGUCAACUCGGAGGAAGGUGGGGAUGACGUCAAGUCAUCAUGCCCCUUAUGUCCAGGGCUUCACGCAUGCUACAAUGGCUGGUACAGAGAGUGGCGAGCCUGUGAGGGUGAGCGAAUCUCGGAAAGCCGGUCUCAGUUCGGAUUGGGGUCUGCAACUCGACCUCAUGAAGUCGGAGUCGCUAGUAAUCGCAGAUCAGCAACGCUGCGGUGAAUACGUUCCCGGGGCUUGUACACACCGCCCGUCAAGUCAUGAAAGUUGGUAACACCCGAAGCCGGUGGCCUAACCGUUGUGGGGGAGCCGUCGAAGGUGGGACUGGUGAUUAGGACU